CGAGAGUGAAAACUCCCUAAACCAACUGUUUAUCUACCUGUUUCGUUGCUUCGGCAGGCGGCCCCCGGGGGGGUUGUACCUUUAAGGCGCCUGCCGAAGGCACCCAGAACUCUUGCUGUCAGUUGUCGUCUGAGCUAAAAACAAAAUGAAUCA
rnacentral:misc_RNA from 1 species